rnacentral:lncRNA from 1 species
UUAGGUGAGUCAAUCAAAUCAUGGUUAAUUUUAUGCUUAAUUUGGUGUUAAUGAGGAUAAGAUAGGUUGUUAUUGAUUUAUUUGUGCUUUUAUAGGUGUUUGAAAGAAGAAUUUUAGUAAAAGAAGCAGAGCAAUUUCAAGGUGCAGACUUUUAAUGCAUAUAUUUCGGUGUUUUGGCUGUAACUUUCUCUACAAGGCUCCAAUUGAAGCAAUUCUUUAACCAUUGGAAACAUAAGAGAAAAAUAUACAACUUUAAUGUUUACCACCUUACCCAUUUUGCUCUGAAAAAUGGUCAAAAAGCUUGUUGAAGUUGACAUAUUGUAGCAGUCCUAGAGCAAUUAUUAUUUCUGUUAAUUAAUUUGGCAAGGUUGUGACUUAUAUAGUCUGAUGAGGACAUCUCAGAUGAAAUUGACUUCUUUCUUCACCCAACUUGGCUGAACUUCAAAGCCUAUAAAAAUAACCUUUCGGAGGACUUAAAAGAAAAAGAAGAAACACCAUAUUAACAUUUGAGAGUCAAGGCACAGAGUCACUGAAGCAAAGAAAAAUUUGCAUAAUUCAAGGAGAUUUGGAGAUCAAGAAUACAAUUCUUGAAGUUUUUCAAUAUUUUCUUUUAUUCUCUUAUUUUCUUGGUUUUGUUCUUAAUGUUUAAAUUUUAUUCAAUGAUGAUGUAUGACUUGAUGGGGAACCAAAUUGUUUAUCUAAGAUUAUAAUUAAACCCAAUAUGUAGUCUGA